rnacentral:rRNA from 1 species
GAUGAACGCUGGCGGCGUGCCUAAUACAUGCAAGUCGAGCGAACAGACGAGGAGCUUGCUCCUCUGACGUUAGCGGCGGACGGGUGAGUAACACGUGGAUAACCUACCUAUCAGACUGGGAUAACUUCGGGAAACCGGAGCUAAUACCGGAUAACAUCUUGAACCGCAUGGUUCCACAGUGAAAGACGGUCUUGCUGUCACUUAUCACUGGAUCCGCGCCGCAUUAGCUAGUUGGUAAGGUAACGGCUUACCAAGGCAACGAUGCGUAGCCGACCUGAGAGGGUGAUCGGCCACACUGGAACUGAGACACGGUCCAGACGCCUACGGGAGGCAGCAGUAGGGAAUCUUCCGCAAUGGGCGAAAGCCUGACGGAGCAACGCCGCGUGAGUGAUGAAGGUCUUCGGAUCGUAAAACUCUGUUAUUAGGGAAGAACAAAUGUGUAAGUAACUAUGCACGUCUUGACGGUACCUAAUCAGAAAGCCACGGCUAACUACGUG